AGAGUUUGAUCAUGGCUCAGAAUCAACGCUGGCGGCGCGCUUAACACAUGCAAGUCGCAUGAGAAAGUGGAGCAAUCCAUGAGUACAGUGGCGUACGGGUGAGUAACACGUGGGUAAUCUACCUCUUAGUGGGGAAUAACCCUGGGAAACCGGGGCUAAUACCGCAUAAGCUCGAGAGAGGAAAGCAGCAAUGCGCUGAGAGAGGAGCCCGCGGCCGAUUAGCUAGUUGGCAGGGUAAAAGCCUACCAAGGCAGAGAUCGGUAGCCGGCCUGAGAGGGCACACGGCCACACUGGCACUGAAACACGGGCCAGACUCCUACGGGAGGCAGCAGUGGGGAAUCUUGCACAAUGGGGGAAACCCUGAUGCAGCGACGCCGCGUGAGCGAUGAAGCCCUUCGGGGUGUAAAGCUCUUUCGGCAGGGAAGAUAAUGACGGUACCUGCAGAAGCAGCUGCGGCUAACUACGUGCCAGCAGCCGCGGUAAUACGUAGGCAGCGAGCGUUGUUCGGAGUUACUGGGCGUAAAGGGUGUGUAGGCGGUUGUCUAAGUUUGGUGUGAAAUCUCCCGGCUCAACUGGGAGGGUGCGCCGAAUACUGAAUGACUAGAGUGCGGGAGAGGAAAGUGGAAUUCCUGGUGUAGCGGUGAAAUGCGUAGAUAUCAGGAGGAACACCGGUGGUGUAGACGGCUUUCUGGACCGUAACUGACGCUGAGACACGAAAGCGUGGGUAGCAAACAGGAUUAGAUACCCUAGUAGUCC
rnacentral:rRNA from 1 species